GCGAUUAAAAGGGGGGGGAGUGCGAAGGUCAGACUCCUACGGGAGGCAGCAGUGGGGAAUAUUGGACAAUGGGCGAAAGCCUGAUCCAGCCAUGCCGCGUGUGUGAAGAAGGUCUUCGGAUUGUAAAGCACUUUAAGUUGGGAGGAAGGGCAUUAACCUAAUACGUUAGUGUUUUGACGUUACCGACAGAAUAAGCACCGGCUUUCUCUGUGCCAGCAGCCGCGGUAAUACAGAGGGUGCAAGCGUUAAUCGGAAUUACUGGGCGUAAAGCGCGCGUAGGUGGUUUGUUAAGUUGGAUGUGAAAACCCCGGGCUCAACCUGGGAACUGCAUCCAAAACUGGCAAGCUAGAGUACGGUAGAGGGGGGUGGAAUUUCCUGUGUAGCGGUGAAAUGCGUAAAUAUAGGAAGGAACCCCAGUGGCGAAAGCGAUUUUUUUGGACUGAUACUGACCCUGAGGUGGGGGGGGGGGGGGGGGAGAACCCCCCCCCCCGAUACCCUGGGUAGGCCCACGCCGUAAACUAAGUCUACUAGCCGGUGUAAUCCUUGAGAUUUUAGUGGGCGCACUAACGCAUUUAGUUGACCGCCUGGGGAUUACGGCCUUCAAGGUUUAUACUCGGAUGUAUUGACGGGGGGCCCCCUCAAUGCG
rnacentral:rRNA from 1 species